rnacentral:rRNA from 1 species
GAUCAUGGCUCAGGAUGAACGCUGGCGGCGUGCCUAACACAUGCAAGUCGAGCGAAGCAUUUUAAAGGAAGUUUUCGGAUGGAAUUUGAAAUGACUGAGCGGCGGACGGGUGAGUAACGCGUGGGUAACCUGCCUCAUACAGGGGGAUAACAGUUAGAAAUGACUGCUAAUACCGCAUAAGCACACAGUACCGCAUGGUACAGUGUGAAAAACUACCGGUGGUAUGAGAUGGACCCGCCGU